UACAGAGGUCUCAAGCGUUGUUCGGAUUCAUUGGGCGUAAAGGGUGCGUAGGGCGGCGCGGUAAGUCGGGUGUGAAAUCUCGGAGCUUAACUCCGAAACUGCAUUCGAUACUGCGGUGCUUGAGGACUGGAGAGGAGACUGGAAUUCAUGGUGUAGCAGUGAAAUGCGUAGAGAUCAUGAGGAAGACCAGUGGCGAAGGCGGGUCUCUGGACAGUUCCUGACACUGAGACACGAAGGCCAGGGGAGCAAACGGG
rnacentral:rRNA from 1 species